AGCGAACGCUGGCGGCAGGCCUAACACAUGCAAGUCGAACGAACCUUUCGGGGUUAUUGGCGGACGGGGGAGUAACACGUGGGAACGUUCCGUUAGGUUCGGAAUAACUCAGGGAAACUUGUGCUAAUACCGAAUGUGCCCUUCGGGGGAAAGAUUUAUCGCACUUAGAGCGUCCCGCGUCUGAUUAGCUAGUUGUUUCAGGUAAUGGCUCACCAAGGCGACAAUCAGUAGCUGGUCUGAUAGGAUGAUCCGCCACAUUGGGACUGAGACACGGCCCAAACUCCUACGGGAGGCAGCAGUGGGGAAUCUUGCGCAAUGGGCGAAAGCCUGACGCAGCCAGGCCGCGUGAAUGAUGUAUGUCUUAGGAUUGUAAAAUUCUUUCACCGGGGACGAUAAUGACGGUACCAGGAGAAGAAGCCCCGGCUAACUUCGU
rnacentral:rRNA from 1 species